AGGUAGCGAAAUUCCUUGUCGGGUAAAUUCCGACCUGCACGAAUGGCGUAACGAAUUCCACACUGUCUCCAAUGCAGACUCAGCGAAACUGAAUUCUCCGUGAAGAUGCGGAGUACCCGCGGUUAGACGGAAAGACCCCGUGCACCUUUACUACAGCUUCGCAGUGGCGUUAGCGACGAUUUGUGUAGGAUAGGCGGGAGACUUUGAAGCCAUGGCGCCAGUCAUGGUGGAGUCAUCCUUGAAAUACCGCCCUGAUCCUUGUUGACGUCUAACCGCGAUCCGUGAACCCGGAUCCGGGACCCUGCGUGGUGGGUAGUUUGACUGGGGCGGUCGCCUCCCAAAGAGUAACGGAGGCGCCCAAAGGUUCCCUCAGAAUGGUCGGAAACCAUUCGAAGAGUGCAAAGGCAGAAGGGAGCUUGACUGCGACACCGACGGGUGGAGCAGGUACGAAAGUAGGACUUAGUGAUCCGGUGGUAUUAAGUGGGAAUGCCAUCGCUCAACGGAUAAAAGCUACCCUGGGGAUAACAGGCUUAUCUCCC
rnacentral:rRNA from 1 species